rnacentral:lncRNA from 1 species
GUUUAUGAGUCACUUUAAUUCUCACUAAAUGUUUAGAAUAUAAUCAUGUUUUGAACUAGACUGAAUUAUAAUAACUAAUUUCUUUAUCUUGUUUUAACUGGUUCUUGUAGCUGUCACACAGUGCACCAUCAUCCCUGCCCCUGAGGAUGGUAAUUCUGGAGUGACUGUUAUUGUCUGGGUUUCUUUUCUUCUCAACCCUCUUUCCAUUCCUCUGUCUGCUCUGUGGUUCAAGGUGAAAAGCAUGUUAGGGUUAGAUAUGAGAUGUCCCCCAAAAGCUCAUGUGAGACAAUGAAAGAAAGUUUAGAAAUGAAACGAUUGGACUGUAAGAGCUUUAACCUAAUCAGUGCAUUAAUCCGCCGAUUGGGAUUAACAGGGCCAUAGCUGUAGGCAAGUGGGAAGUGGCAGGAAGAGAUAGGUCACUGGGAAAUGCCUUUAGGGUUUAUAUUUUAUCCCAGUGAGUGGAAUUCUCUUUGCUUCCUUAUUGCCAUGACCCAAGAUGCUUUCCUCCUCCACUCCCUUCUGCCAUAAUGUUCUGCCCCACCUUGAGCCCAGAGCAAUGGAGUAGGCUCUCCAUGGACUGAGACCUCUGAAAUCAAGAGCCCUGAAAAACUUUUCACGGUGAUGAAAAAACUAACUAGACACUCCUUGAAAGUUGGCUGAUCCUGAGCCAAAUGUGAAUAUUUAAAAAGAAAACAUUAAAACAUUGAUUAAAGACUCCAAAGGAGAGGGCAAGACCUUGGUGCCGACAUGACUCAUGUAAUGACAAGCAGAUCCCCACACCCUCCCUGGAGAACCCAGAGGCUUUGUCCUCCAAGUUGGUCAAUUUCUCCAGUCUCUGCCUGGAGGGACAGAACAUUCUAGAAGCUGUGUCUGGUAAGAAACCAGUCCUCACACUCCCACAAGACUCUCACUUCCACCCUUGGCAGGUCUUCUAUAGCAUACAGGCCAGGAUCUUGGGGAGGGCAGAAAGUCUCACUGCUUACCCAAUAGCCCACCUCAUCUGAGUCCUCUUCCCUCUAGUUCCUG